UACAGAGGGUGCAAGCGUUGUUCGGAAUUAUUGGGCGUAAAGCGUGCGCAGGCGGUUUUGUAAGUCUGUCGUGAAAUCCCCGGGCUCAACCUGGGAAUUGCGAUGGAGACUGCAAGGCUAGAAUCUGGCAGAGGGGGGGUAGAAUUCCACGUGUAGCAGUGAAAUGCGUAGAGAUCCGGAGGAACACCAGUGGCGAAGGCGACACGCUGGGCCGUACCUGACACUGAGGCGCGACAGCGUGGGGAGCAAACAGG
rnacentral:rRNA from 1 species